rnacentral:tmRNA from 1 species
GAUGACAAUUUAGUGCAGCUUUCAAUAGGGUUAUACAGUCGCCUGGCUGAUACUUUAGGACCACAUCCUUACACUGUGUCAGCAGAGGGUCCCUGAUUACACGUGUUCUCAGAGUGGGAAUAGUCAGUACAUAAACAAACAGGGUAUACAUGGGAAGGCUGCAAGGGGUUCUCUUCAGGGUGAUCAUACCACGUAAGAACUGGGCCUUAAGGCAUACCGCAUCUGCCACACCUUUGAGGAUCCUGCUGAAUAUUCCAUCCUUUUCUAUACAUUUUAUCACCUCUAUGAGUUUUAUCACAAGCUGUUGGGACAAUUUUUCUGAAGUAGACAUGAGUAUGUCGUCAGUGGGCAACUCCCUACCGUGUUUCAGGCAAGCAUAUGCCCAGGCCAACUGUUCGUCUAGCAUGUGGGUCAGCACCACCAGGCCGUUGUUGAAGAUUGCAAAAUACCUUGUAGAUAGCCAAUGAUCCUUAUUUAUUCCACUGUUAAAGAAAGAGUUAAGCAGUUUGAAAGACUCUUCAAUAUUUUUUAGUGAUACCGCCUUUUCAGACACUGGACAAUUUCUGGCAGCGUUCUGAAUUAUAGCAUCCACAAACCGAUCAGUAUAGAACUCUGGGCGCAGUUUACCAGUUGUAGGCACCAACAGUUUGGCAUUUUUGUACUCUGCUCUUGGAAUUUUGCUGUAAUCCAGAAGAGGUUUGGGGGACCAAUAUUGUUUCUGGCUUUUCUGGUUCCAUCUGUUUGGUCUUCGUGAGUCUGGUCCCCUUUUCUGCUUCUGGUUAGCAUUUUCUCUCUGUGGACUGCGUCUGGGGUGGUAAGAAUAGCUUCUUUUGGGUGCAGGCUCAUACUUUGUUGUAUCUCUAAGCAGAGGAGAGUUGUGGACAAUUUCAGGAGACAGGGCGCGCUUUCUAGCCUUUGGAGAAGGUGGCUUGACGUCUGGCGAGGGUGUUGGUGGUGGGUCGUCGAAGAGUGGGUCAGGUUCGUACACCACAUCCCGGACUGGCCCCGUUGGCUCCUCAACUGGUGGAGAAUCUGAGAGCUCACCUUCUUCAUCAGAUGUAUCAAAGUCAAAAUCAGAUGGUAGUCCUGGGGGGAAACAAGAGAUUUUAAGACCAAAUUUAAACUCCAAAUUUUACAAAAGUGUUAAGUAGGAUUCCUUAUUUUGUAAAGACAUACCUUCCAUCAUUUGGUCCAGCGCGCCCGCCUCCAACAUCUGCUGUGCCAUUCUGCGAGCUGUGGGUACUGUAUGGUGCCCAGGAUCGGAGAGUCCUCUACACUCGAGCAUGCACGGUGCAAUGUGUCACAGGCUUAUUGUUGUUGCACUUAUUGGCAAAGCAUUGACUCAUAAGUGUUGCAGUUAUGACGUCACGUGAGAACUUUCCCAGGGUUAUGAAAAGCCUCACAUUAUGUGAUUUUGUUCUGUGUUGAUGAGUCAGACAGGAGAAGCCUGGACCUCUGCGAGGUUUCAGUUGUAGCAUGUUGUUAGACACAACGUUAAAUGAAAUGUUGUUUAGUUCAUUUGCAUUUUUCUGUGGCAGAUAUUUGACUAACUGCUCACAAAACAAUGGCCACAAGGUGGUGUCUAUCCAGGACUGGACCGGGCACCCCAAAAUAUCUUCCAGUUUGUCAAUAUCUAGAGAAUUUUUUGGUAAGCUGGCCACAGUCUUGCAGGAUAAAAAAUCCUCAUCUUUAUCACGAAUGUCCAAUAUUAGAUUAUAAUCUCCAGAUCUUAGAUCCUCACUGGUACUGUGAUACAAAAGGUUUGUCAGCACGAAGCUGUUCUUGACAUAGGAGGUCUUAUCUGGAAAUGGGUGACAGACAAACAAUUUUAGCAGUCUCUCAGGCAAUCCUGUAGAUGUAAAUUUGUAGGUGUGUGGCAGGCGAAUGCAGCGACCCUGGCUGUAGAUACCCGUGUCAAAUAAAAACUCUGUUGAAGAGAUUGAGGGGAAUAGUUCACACACUCUUUUGUUCAGUCUGAUAGUUCUGUUUAUCACUCUUGCUAGAGUUAUUAGUGGUGUUGCUCCAACUAUAGCAUGUCUCAUUGGUAAUGGUGUAAUUAUUCGGAGUCCAAUCUUUUUGCUGCAGGUACAAAAUGGUCGUGGUUCCAUAUAUAUAUCAGAGUUACACUCUGACUUGAAGAAAUAGACGGGAUGAGACGGGGGCAUCUCCAGGUUUAGGAUUGUGCUGAGGACAGUAAUUAUGUCCUGGCGAAUCUGCAGACACAGAUUGUAUAUGUCUUCAAUUUUAUAUCCUGGAACUUCAACUGGGAGAUCAAAAUCCAGAAUGACAUUAUAGAUUGGCAGAUGAGGGUUGAAGUAUUCGUGCCUGGAAACCAUGAGAUUGUCCUCAACCGUGUUGCUCGUGCAACCAUUAACACAGUAGGUCAAAAGUUCAGUGAUUCUCACGUCUGUUAAUUCAUCUAAAUUAAUUGAGUGGGGGAAAAUGACGUGCUUCUUCCAGUAGUCUUCUAUAGAAUCUGUUGCCACCAUCACAAAAUAAGUCUUGUUUUUAAAUUCACUUCUGUACGUGGGACAAAUUGGCUUUUCUGGGAACAGAAUGUCCUUUGGGUUAUCAAGUUCUUGUGGAGAUAAGGAUGCUAGUUUCAAUAACUCUUUCAGGCUGGACUCUGAGCUAUAAAAAGGAAAAUCCUCGUUGAUGGAAUCAAACAAGGCUGUCAGGUCCGAUGUCUGUCCAAACCAGGCCUGGAGAGUACCUGGGGUAUCUCCAUACGACCCUAAGCUGGCUCCAGGUACACGGACAACCUUUGUCAAUAGAUGGGUGUGAAUAUAUUUUUCCUUGUUAUAGUAGCUGGACAUUUUAUCCAAAAAUUCAUCACAGAGUUUCAGAUGAAGAAUUUCAGAACUGUAGGUGUUGAUAUUGUCCGGUGAGGUCUUUCCAAUAAAUUCCAGGAAGGCAGUUUUGUUAAAACAUGCAUAAAAUGCCAGGUACACAAAUUGUACAAUGUCCUUGUUAGACAGCAGUAGACCCCCCCUAAUUUCAUUAAUCAUCUGGUCAAUCUUUUCAUUUUCUAGAGUGUCUAUGUUGAGUUUAGUUUCUACAUAUUCUGCAAACAAAGGCACACUGUCCAGGAUAGAGCUUGAGGAAAAGAACAGCCCAAGUUCCUGAAGACUGGACACAUCAAUGAGAGAGUGUCCAAGCUCCCCGCAGAAAAGUCUAGCCAAGUGCAUGAGGGUCUCAACGGUACAAGCAUGUUUAUAAAAGUAAUAAGAGGCGAUGACCAGGGUAAAGGUCAAGUCAUCCUGUCCAAAGGUUGUAAUGAACCAUUGUGUGGAAGAUGUUGUCUUUAACAGUUUUCUCAAAAAAUUGAUUAAUUUUGACUGGUACCAUCUAACCAUUUCCAGAAAAGUGCCCUCUUUCUCCCCUCUGUUAUCUAGACUCAUUAUCAAUUUUAAAAUUGGCAAUAUUUGAGCUUUGAGGUGAGAAUAAUCUAGGCAAGAUGCUACCUGCCCGCUGGUUAGAGGCCUGCCAUUAAACAAAAACUGUUUGGCAUCAUCGCAGGAAAUGUCAACUUUAAACAGUUCAAAGUAUUUUUUUUCCUUAUUGGGCCUGUUUAGAGGUAGGCACAUAGAGAUGCUGCUGAUGUUUUUUAGACCAGAAAUACUAAAGCAGUCAUGAAUCAAAGAGGUGAAUUUAUAUUCAGUUGCGCCCUCGUGUGUGAUUAAAUUCACAACAGCGUCUAUAACAUCAAUAUCUGUAGAAAAUAUACACCUGACAGUAUCUGGCGAUACAAGGCAUGAAUUGCUGUGGUAUCUGGCCAUUUGGGAAACCCGGUGUACCUUACAAGAGGCUCGCUGAUGUAGAAACAGAUGAGAGAAUGGAGAUGGAGAUCAGGCUGGGUAUGCCCCCGGGGGUGUUGGCGGCCGACCUGAUUAGGAGCACCAAGGAUAAGCAGGUCCUGGAGCAACUCUAUCUUCUGGCCGUGCAGGCAAAUAAUUUAACAGAGCACAUCAAGAGAUUUACCUUGGGUGAGAUACCAGAAGAAUGUAAAAAUGUUACCAGAUCUCAAUUGGAAAAAUUAAAGUCUGUCCAACACAUAAUUUGGAACACAAUGAUAUCAUUGGCUGCUGGGGCAAUAAGUGUAGAUGAGGCCACACUUCCAGCCCUGCUGGACAAGAGGGCAGAGGAAACGGUGGCUCUUCUCGAGAUGGAGAAAAUAGCCACAGCAGUCAAACUGGAUGAGACGGCCGCAUGGGCCACUGACAUUGCUGGUAUUGUAUCUAGCCAACCUUUGGCCACGCCCCCAAGUGAGUCACCCGACCAAAUAGCACUGAAAAAAGCCACACAACUUUCAAAUGCUGUUUAUUGAAACUGGUCACACACAUCAUUUUGUGUGCAGUUUUAUUAAUUCACCCCACUUGACCCAAACCCCCGCCCCUCCCUAGAAGGCUUUCCUGGCCUCUGUUUGCUGUAUCGCCUAUUCUUUUCUUCAGCAAUUUCAGACUUGUCUGCAGCUUCGUGCGGAACCCUAAUAAACUGUACAACAGCUAAA